CCUACGGGGGGCAGCAGUGAGGAAUAUUGGUCAAUGGACGAGAGUCUGAACCAGCCAAGUAGCGUGAAGGAUGACUGCCCUAUGGGUUGUAAACUUCUUUUAUAUGGGAAUAAAAUGUUCCACGUGUGGGAUUUUGUAUGUACCAUAUGAAUAAGGAUCGGCUAACUCCGUGCCAGCAGCCGCGGUAAUACAGAGGAUCCGAGCGUUAUCCGGAUUUAUUGGGUUUAAAGGGAGCGUAGGUGGAUUGUUAAGUCAGUUGUGAAAGUUUGCGGCUCAACCGUAAAAUUGCAGUUGAAACUGGCAGUCUUGAGUACAGUAGAGGUGGGCGGAAUUCGUGGUGUAGCGGUGAAAUGCUUAGAUAGCACGAAGAACUCCGAUUGCGAAGGCAGUUCACUGGACUGCAACUGACACUGAGGCUCGAAAGUGUGGGUAUCAAACAGGAUUAGAUACCCGUGUAGUC
rnacentral:rRNA from 1 species